GUGUUGGUAUACACAUAUUAAUAUGAAAGUUUUAUCCUAUAGGUAGAAGAAAAUAAGACGUGCUUCAAAUGCAAAGAUUACCAUAUGUAUCUUUUUUACAGUAGAGGGUUCAAUUUUUAAAAUGAAUUUGCCAAAAGGCAUGCGGUGCACAGCCUUCAACUGCUCGACAAAAGAUUUUUUUUUGUUUCUGGGAUUCCUUUUAAUGACAUAUAAUAAAUACACAUUUUUAAAAAUGCCAAAAAAUUGCAUGUACACCCAUUGAUAUUAUAUCGUCUUUCAUUUUGUCGUGCAAAUAAAAUAACAGAAAUAUUUUGAAAAUAUCAUUCGAAUAAACUAGUGAAGGUGAG
rnacentral:lncRNA from 1 species